GACGAACGCUGGCGGCGUGCCUAAUACAUGCAAGUAGAACGCUGAAGAGAGGAGCUUACUCUUCUUGGAUGAGUUGCGAACGGGUGAGUAACGCGUAGGUAACCUGCCUUGUAGCGGGGGAUAACUAUUGGAAACGAUAGCUAAUACCGCAUAACAAUGGAUGACACAUGUCAUUUAUUUGAAAGGGGCAAUUGCUCCACUACAAGAUGGACCUGCGUUGUAUUAGCUAGUAGGUGAGGUAAUGGCUCACCUAGGCGACGAUACAUAGCCGACCUGAGAGGGUGAUCGGCCACACUGGGACUGAGACACGGCCCAGACUCCUACGGGAGGCAGCAGUAGGGAAUCUUCGGCAAUAGGGGCAACCCUGACCGAGCAACGCCGCGUGAGUGAAGAAGGUUGUCGGAUCGUAAAGCUCUGUUGUAAGUCAAGAACGGGUGUGAGAGUGGAAAGUUCACACUGUGACGGUAGCUUACCAGAAAGGGACGGCUAACUACGUG
rnacentral:rRNA from 1 species